rnacentral:rRNA from 1 species
GGAUCAUUACAGAGUUCAUGCCCUUCGGGGUAGACCUCCCACCCAGUGUAUUUA